rnacentral:rRNA from 1 species
ACUUGGAAAAGUCAGUCAAAGAGGGUAAAAACCCCGUAGACGAAAUGUGGAAGACACCUAGGAGGAUCCUGAGUACGGCGGAACACGAGAAAUUCCGUCGGAAUCCGGGAGGACCAUCUCCCAAGGCUAAAUACUCCCUAGUGACCGAUAGUGAACCAGUACCGUGAGGGAAAGGUGAAAAGCACCCCGGAAGGGGAGUGAAAUAGAACCUGAAACCGUGUGCCUACAACAAGUCAAAGCCCGUUAAUGGGUGAUGGCGUGCCUUUUGUAGAAUGAACCGGCGAGUUACGAUUGCAUGCGAGGUUAAGUUGAAGAGACGGAGCCGCAGCGAAAGCGAGUCUGAAUAGGGCGUUUGAGUAUGUAGUCGUAGACCCGAAACCAUGUGAUCUACCCAUGUCCAGGUUGAAGGUGCGGUAAAACGCACUGGAGGACCGAACCCACGUACGUUGAAAAGUGCGGGGAUGAGGUGUGGGUAGCGGAGAAAUUCCAAACGAACUUGGAGAUAGCUGGUUCUCUCCGAAAUAGCUUUAGGGCUAGCCUCGGAAUUGAGAAUGAUGGAGGUAGAGCACUGUUUGGACUAGGGGCCCAUCUCGGGUUACCGAAUUCAGAUAAACUCCGAAUGCCAUUCAUUCAUAUCCGGGAGUCAGACUGUGAGUGAUAAGAUCCAUAGUCGAAAGGGAAACAGCCCAGACCACCAGCUAAGGUCCCAAAAUAUAUGUUAAGUGGAAAAGGAUGUGGGGUUGCACAGACAACUAGGAUGUUGGCUUAGAAGCAGCCACCAUUUAAAGAGUGCGUAA